UACGUAGGGUGCAAGCGUUGUCCGGAUUUAUUGGGCGUAAAGAGCUCGUAGGCGGUUUGUCACGUCGGAUGUGAAAACCUAUGGCUUAACCAUGGGCCUGCAUUCGAUACGGGCUGACUAGAGUUUGGUAGGGGAGAUUGGAACUCCUGGUGUAGCGGUGAAAUGCGCAGAUAUCAGGAAGAACACCGGUGGCGAAGGCGGAUCUCUGGGCCAAUACUGACGCUGAGGAGCGAAAGCGUGGGGAGCAAACAGG
rnacentral:rRNA from 1 species